UUAAUUCUUACGUUGUUUUAAAAAUGGAAGGGUGUAUACAGGU
rnacentral:antisense_RNA from 1 species